GUUCCAUAGUAGGAAUCAUGGUUAACAGCAUUAAGAUCAUCUAAUUCAGAGGAAGCUUCAAACACUUCAUCAUGAGAAUGCAACCACCUAUUUCGAUACAGUUUGCCUUUGCUGCUGCCUCUUUUGGAGUACCGGAUCAGACACAUCAGGGGCCCAUGUCACAGUCAAUUUCAUUUGUGAUCCACCCUCUUUCUCACGACCACCUUUCAUGGCAGAUACAUGCUUUGGAGGUGCCUGUAGUGUAAAGCACAGAGAAAAAGAAAAUCAUAAGCAAAUGCUACUAAAAAUAGCUGCCAAUAAUGUAUGCCCAAAGACCAAACUGCAUUCUAUCUGUGGAACUUCCCCUAAUCAUCGCUUCUAUCUGUUGAACCAAGAACGGGAAAUGCUGAGACACUGUAGCAACAUAACAAUCUGUAAACUAAACCUACCAACGUUUGUUUAUUUAUUUAUUUAUUUUGCAAUAGAAACAUCUAUACUUCAUCAACAGAAAAAA